GAAAUUUUGGCAAGGUGAAAUUCACCUUGCAAAAUUGGUCAUUUGGCAAGGUGAAUUGCCUCCCCUUGCGAAAUGGUGUUCCCAUUGCUUGUGCUCGUGUUUCCACUUGAAAUUCAAGCCUGUAAACGUCCAAAAUCCUUGCUUAACUCGCCCAAGUAGCUCCUCCAUCAAUUGGCAUGCUUGAAUUGGUUCAUAAGCUGAUGAAAAACAUGUAAACUUGCCA
rnacentral:lncRNA from 1 species